AUACGUAGGGAGCGAGCGUUGUCCGGAAUUACUGGGUGUAAAGGGCGUGUAGGCGGGCUGUCAAGUCAGAUGUGAAAUUCCCGGGCUUAACCUGGGCGCUGCAUUUGAAACUGAUGGUCUUGAGUGCUGGAGAGGUAAGUGGAAUUCCUAGUGUAGCGGUGAAAUGCGUAGAUAUUAGAAGGAACACCAGUGGCGAAGGCGGCUUACUGGUCCAUUACUGACGCUGAGGUGCGAAAGCGUGGGGAGC
rnacentral:rRNA from 1 species